GACAUAGCUCAGUGGUAGAGCGGGUGGCUGUUAACCACUAGGUCGCAGGUUCAAGCCCUGCUGUC
rnacentral:tRNA from 1 species